CAGCAAUCAUAGGGCUGCCUAGUCACUUCUUAGCCUGAGUCACCCUGUCAUUUACUACCUUUAUAAUACUCUUUUACUCAACCCUGUUCGAGCCUAAUUUCGUACGUAGCGAACCCUAACAAACCAUUUCCGGCAUUUUGAUCCCAUCGCCACCCAGACUACACACCCCGCAGAAAUUAGAAGCAAAUUGAAAUCUCGAAGCAUCCUCACUAAAAACCCAGGAAAACUGAGCAAAUCCAUUUGAGGACCAAUUAUGGGAUGCACUACCAACAGAAUUGGGAUAAUUUCUGCGGUGGUUGUGGACAGGUUUUGCCAAAAAACACGGCCCCAUAUAUUUGUUCCCUUUUUGCGCCGCAUGUGAACGGCCUGCAACAAAACUUCAACUUCGGCCAGAAAAUCGAGGACGGAGGUGAUGUGCACGGCCGCAUUACUCAUUUACGUGGGGACAUCCCACUCCCUGAAGGUCUCAUGCCGGGCAUAAGCUCCGAACAGCAGGCUGGUCAAAGCCCUCCCCUCAUGCUGAUCUGUGAAACAUGUCUUGCUGGUUCGCCUGAUAAUUCUCGAUCCGACACCCUGAAAAUAUCGUGUCACUACCAAACAUCGAUCGAGUUCCGAGUCCGGGAAACCCGCUGGUAAUUCCCCUAUAGCCGGUCAACAUUUGGGAAGAUCAAAAACGCUUAUAAAUUUUACAAUACACAUUCGGUUAUUUAUAAAAUCCCGCAUUCAGUAUUUCUACUAAAACAAGCUCAGAGGAACGGAUGGGAUUUAUCGGCCCACUCCUUUGGGACCUUCACUACAAAAGGUAAACAUCCGGAACAACCCAAUAAUUCUAUCAACCCAAGACCUUGUGUGGAGUUGGAAUAUAUUUGUCCUCUCCGGCGGAUCUACACUGGUAAUACCCACCAGCUCUCAAUGAAAAAUUCUCCGAUUCCAUCAAAAUUUCACACAUUCUUCUUGGUUAUGGAUAUAAUCUUCAAAGUUGGAAUCUAUACGUACUUUGAUACACAAAUAUUUGAUCAAAUUAUUGAAAUCAUGGUACAAUAAAAGGUGGUGAAACAUUUUGCAUGCGGAAAUAUUUGUGCCUAUGCCUGUCUUGUCGUCGUGGUUGCCGAAGAACGGAUUUUGUAUGCGGUAUAUGCUGAUGUGAUUGAUAGUUCCAAAAAAGGAGACAGCAAAUUUUAUGGACGUCACAUAUAUAUAUAAAUAUAUCUAUCAAGGACAACACAACGUUUACGCUUCUUUCCGGAGGAAACAGAUUUUGAACGCCAGGCAAACCCUCAAAUGAAGCUGGACUUGUUGACUGGUCCUUUUACAAUGCCGGCGUUCUGGGCGGGAUCAAUAACCGGCACAGCAAAAAGCUCAAAGUUGCAGCUGGCCAGUUUACAAUUCAAAUCUCCACACCCUCAAUGUAACUUUUUGGCUUUUUUUUCCUGUGGACAACUUGCCACUACCUUGCGUUACCAAAAAGAAAAGGCAAUUUCCCGCCGUUGUGCUGACCAAAACCGGACAAUUUUCGGUGCUUCCAAAAAAGGCUUGAUACACCACCGGAAUAUUCCUGUUGGAGCAACACACAUCACAUAUAACAACACAAUACUCAACAAACCACUGUUACAAACUACUUACACAAUAAAAAAAAAUCGCAACACACAAA